rnacentral:lncRNA from 1 species
AUAAGGGAGCUACCAUUUGAUUUUUAUGGGGGGGGGGGGGGGGGGGGCUAGGAUGAAAUUUGAAAAAAAUAGGCAGGACAGGAGUUUUGAGUAAAAAAAAAGGCAGGAUGUGACACUUGCAAAAAAAAAAAGUCAGGACGACAAUUUAGGUAAAAAAAGUCAGGAUAAACUAAAAAAAAAAAAAAAGGCAGGACCGAUUAGAGUGAAAAAUAAAAAGGCAGGACAGAGAUUACAGCUAAAAAAAAAUGCAGGACAAAAUUUUUCAUCCUAGCCCCCCCCCCCCCCUAAAAAUCAAAUGGUAGCUCCCUAAACUACCUCUGAUUGGUGUGUCCUUGACACAAGUACCACUGAAUGAGAAACAAAACAAAAUAAGAAUUCUUUUAUUUCAAACAUUGAAUAAUAAAAAUUUACAAUAUAUAGUGAAGAAAAUUAGUUGAUUGAUUCAGCAAAAAUAGUAAACAAGGAAAUAUAAUAAAUAACAUAAUGCUUAUAAACCAUUGACAAUUAAAUUACAGACACUGGUUUCCAUAAAAAGAUUGAACCAGUUUUCUCGAACUGGUUUCAUAGAUUAAACCAGAUUUUUUCCACUGGUUUCGAAAGCAAGACUGAACCAGUUUUCUGUCCCUAGUUUCCAAAGAAAGAUUGAACCAAUUUUAUGGCACUGGUUUUAUAAGAUAGAUGAAACCAUUUUUUUGGAACUGGUUUUGAAGGCAAGACUGAACCAGUUUUCUAGCACUGGUUUAAUAUAGAGAAGGAUUAAACCAAUUUUCUGGCACUGGUUUACAAAGAAAGGUUGAACUUGUUUUCCAAAGCACCGUCUUUUUUUGUUUGCCAGAUGGUCUAUAGAAAUACGAUUUCAGGUUUAAGAUCCGUAAUACUGAUGAAAGAAACUAUCUUACUCUUCAAACAAGUGACAAUGAGUAGAAAAGUCUACCCAUAUGUUUCUACAAAAUGUUAUAUUGGAAUCCCUUAGUUAUGAAUUUCAAUUAACUUAUGCUUUGUGGGAAAAUCUUUGGUUAGGGGCUACAUUUUUAUACCCCACGCAACGAAGUUGCGGAGGGUAUAAUGUUUUUGACCCGUCCGUCCGUCCGUCCGUCCGUCCGUCCGUCCGUCCGUCCGUCAGUCCUGUUUCUUGUCAUCGCAACUCCUCUCAAACCACACAACAGAAUUUCACGAAACCUUUUUAGAUAAUAAGGACAUACUAUGUAGUUGUGCAUAUCGACGGGAAAUUGCGAUUCCAUUUUUUUUCUAGGAGUUACGCCCCUUUGAAC